GAAAUGCGAUAAUUAAUGUGAAUUGCAGAAUUCCGUGCCUCAUCUCAUCUUUGAACGCACAUUGCGCCCGCCAGCACUCUGGCGGGCAUGCCUGUUCGAGCGUCAUUUCAACCCUCAGAACCCCUUGCGGGAUCUGGCGUUGGGGAUUGGCAUCCAGCCAGCCCCGAAAUCUAGUGGCGGUCCCUCCGCGACCUCCCCUGUGCAGUAGCGAUACCUCGCAGCGGGACAGCGGUCUGACCACGCCGUAAAACCCCCAACUUCUCAAGGUUGACCUCGAAUCAGGUAGGAAUACCCGCUGAACUUAAGC
rnacentral:misc_RNA from 1 species